GCCUCGCUAGCUCAAUCGGUAGAGCGUGAGACUCUUACAGUACUUGAAGGUUCAUCUCAAGGUUGCGGGUUCGACCCCCGCGUGGGGCU
rnacentral:tRNA from 1 species